GGCGGAUAAACCCCGUAAAAAAUGGAGUUUUGUUUAAUUUGAGACAACAAAACCUGUGUUUGUGAUGUGCAAAUGUUGGUGCAAAUGACGGGUACAGUGGAAAGAUGACAACCAUGAUCAACAGCGGUGGAGUGCAGAAAGUACGGUGAAAAUGUUGCGUUUUAUUCACGGAACAGUUGAUAAAAGUGUUUUUAAUGUAAUGUGCCAUAAUUUGUGUAAUUUGCCUAAUGUAAUAAUUUGUAAAGUGUUGACCGUGUGUGAAAUAGUUGUUAGUGCGUCUCAUUAAACCGAUUUAUUUGCUUAAAUAAAUCAAGUUGUUCUACUA